GCGCCGGCUAACUACGUGCCAGCAGCCGCGGUAAUACGUAGGGCGCAAGCGUUAUCCGGAAUUAUUGGGCGUAAAGAGCUCGUAGGCGGUUUGUCGCGUCUGCUGUGAAAGCCCGGGGCUCAACCCCGGGUCUGCAGUGGGUACGGGCAGACUAGAGUGCAGUAGGGGAGACUGGAAUUCCUGGUGUAGCGGUGAAAUGCGCAGAUAUCAGGAGGAACACCGAUGGCGAAGGCAGGUCUCUGGGCUGUAACUGACGCUGAGGAGCGAAAGCAUGGGGAGCGAACAGGAUUAGAUACCCUGGUAGUCCAUGCCGUAAACGUUGGGCACUAGGUGUGGGGGACAUUCCACGUUUUCCGCGCCGUAGCUAACGCAUUAAGUGCCCCGCCUGGGGAGUACGGCCGCA
rnacentral:rRNA from 1 species